AGUUUGAUCCUGGCUCAGGACGAACGCUGGAGGCGCGCCUAACACAUGCAAGUCGAACGAGCGAGAGAGAGCUUGCUUUCUCGAGCGAGUGGCGAACGGGUGAGUAACGCGUGAGGAACCUGCCUCAAAGAGGGGGACAACGGUUGGAAACGACUGCUAAUACCGCAUAAGCCCACGACCCGGCAUCGGGUAGAGGGAAAAGGAGCAAUCCGCUUUGAGAUGGCCUCGCGUCCGAUUAGCUAGUUGGUGAGGUAAUGGCCCACCAAGGCGACGAUCGGUAGCCGGACUGAGAGGUUGAACGGCCACAUUGGGACUGAGACACGGCCCAGACUCCUACGGGAGGCAGCAGUGGGGAAUAUUGCACAAUGGGGGAAACCCUGAUGCAGCGACGCCGCGUGGAGGAAGAAGGUCUUCGGAUUGUAAACUCCUGUUGUUGAGGAAGAUAAUGACGGUACUCAACAAGGAAGUGACGGCUAACUACGUGCCAGCAGCCGCGGUAAAACGUAGGUCACAAGCGUUGUCCGGAAUUACUGGGUGUAAAGGGAGCGCAGGCGGGAAGGCAAGUUGGAAGUGAAAUCCAUGGGCUCAACCCAUGAACUGCUUUCAAAACUGUUUUUCUUGAGUAGUGCAGAGGUAGGCGGAAUUCCCGGUGUAGCGGUGGAAUGCGUAGAUAUCGGGAGGAACACCAGUGGCGAAGGCGGCCUACUGGGCACCAACUGACGCUGAGGCUCGAAAGUGUGGGUAGCAAACAGGAUUAGAUACCCUGGUAGUCCACACUGUAAACGAUGAUUACUAGGUGUUGGAGGAUUGACCCCUUCAGUGCCGCAGUUAACACAAUAAGUAAUCCACCUGGGGAGUACGACCGCAAGGUUGAAACUCAAAGGAAUUGACGGAAGGGCGAAU
rnacentral:rRNA from 1 species